rnacentral:rRNA from 1 species
UACGUAGGGGGCAAGCGUUGUCCGGAAUCAUUGGGCGUUAAAGGCGCGUGUGAUGGCGGCCCGGUAAGUCCGCUGAUAAAAGUCCAGGGCUCAACCCUGGAAAGCCGGUGGAUACUGUACGGGCUCGAGUUCCGGAAGGAGGCGAGUGGAAUUCCUGGUGUAGCGGUGAAAUGGCGCAGAGUAUCAAGGAGGAACACCGAUGGCGAAGGCAGCUCGCUGG